GAUGAAGAACGCAGCGAAACGCGAUAAGUAAUGUGAAUUGCAGAAUCCAGUGAAUCAUCGAAUCUUUGAACGCACAUUGCGCCCGCCAGUAUUCUGGCGGGCAUGCCUGUCUGAGCGUCAUUUCAACCCUCAUGCCCCUAGGGCGUGGUGUUGGGGAUCGGCCAAAGCCCGCGAGGGACGGCCGGCCCCUAAAUCUAGUGGCGGACCCGUCGUGGCCUCCUCUGCGAAGUAGUGAUAUUCCGCAUCGGAGAGCGACGAGCCCCUGCCGUUAAACCCCCAACUUUCCAAGGUUGACCUCAGAUCAGGUAGGAAUACCCGCUGAACUUAAGCAUAUCAAUAAGCGGAGGA
rnacentral:misc_RNA from 1 species